GGAUAGCAAGUAACAUUCAUUGAGCCUCUAUCAUGCGCCAGACCUUGAGCCAAGAAAUUUCCCUUGAUCAUCUCAGCCAGAGGAAAAGGCAAGAAGAGGAGGACUUUUGUCCUGCCCCUGCCAAACACAAGAAAGUGGCUCAGAGAGGUUACACAUCUCAUCUAACUGCAGAGAGAGAGGUCCAGGAUUCCAAUCCAGAGUUUCUCAUUUUUCUGUCCACUCUAUCACGUUGCCUCCCACUCCACCUAAUACCAAAAUCAAGUCAUUCACGUCUCUCCACCCUCUCCUCAAGGAUACUGAGGAUGUGGCUCAGUACAACAUUCAUUCACUCACCCAUUCAUUCAUUAUACAAACAUGUGAAGUGGUUCCUCGGUGGCAGUGGCAAUGACAGAUGUGAGUCUUACCUUCACAGGGCUUAUAGUAUAUGGCACAUAGUAGGUGUUCAACAAAUACAUGUUGAACAAAUUACAUAAUUUCCCAAAUGCCCUGCUGGAAUUUAGAUUCACUCUGGCCAUACCAUAUGCCUGUCGAGGUGGCACUUCAUGGAAGAAGGCCUUUAGAAGCAACUAGCGGUCAAGGAGAUGGUCUCCUCCCCAUUGCACACCAGCUGUGUGAUAUCAGACAGGUCACUUCAUCUCUCUGAACUUAAACUUUUCAUCGCUGUAACUGACACCGUAUCAACAACCCACACAGAUGGCACAGGAAUGGCAUGGGAUAGUAUCAUAUAUACAGUUCCUAUCACUGGGCCUGUCACUUAGAAAGUGCUGAGGUAACAGCCGGUAAUAGCAGUAAUUAAUAUUUAUUCAAAUCCCUACUCAGCUCAGUGCCACAUAGGGUUCUCGGCACUUGACAUAUAUCAGCUUAUCCCCUCCUCACAACCAGCCUGUGAGGAAGGAACCAUGAUCACUCCAGGUUACAACUGAAGAAACUGGCAGAGAAAGUGAAUGAUUUGCCCUAAGUCUCACAACUACUGAGCGAGAAGUCAGCCAACAAUUUUUUAAGACAUUUAUUUCAAGGCAAACAUAUCACAGGCCAAGACUCCAA
rnacentral:lncRNA from 1 species